rnacentral:rRNA from 1 species
GAAGCUGGAAUCGCUAGUAAUCGCGGAUCAGAAUGCCGCGGUGAAUACGUUCCCGGGUCUUGUACACACCGCCCGUCACACCAUGGGAGUCGGAAAUGCCCGAAGUCUGUGACCCAACCUUAGGGAGGGAGCAGCCGAAGGCAGGUCGGAUGACUGGGGUGAAGUCGUAACAAGGUAAC